rnacentral:lncRNA from 1 species
AUCUUCUUCCUGCCCUCGCCGUGGCGGGCGACGGUUUCUCGCGCCGUGGCUGGCUCGGCCGGCCGGGGCACCGCGCCGGGCUCCAUGCAGCCGGGCUGCGCGGUCCCGCAGAGCGGGCGCCUCCGGGGCUCGAGUCGGGGACCCGGCAGGAGCGGGCCGGGGAUGGCGGCGGCGGGCGGCGGGUCGGCCGUGGAGCCCCGGAGAGGCGGCCGCCACCACCGCUGCCCGCAGUCUGCGAGGUGUCCGGCGGUCCGCUCAGGGCCUCUUUUGCAGACUCGGUGCCCGGAGUGCGCCGGCGCCGCCCGCCAGGUCUUGGCACUGCUGGCGCGGCCGCGGCGGCGGGGGCCCGGCUCCAGAUCACCGACCCCCACGAGCGCCGGCCCUGCCUGCCCGCUAUUUUGGUUCCAUCUCUUCUGCAUAUUUAUGCUUGCCUGUUACAUUCCCUGGCCUCUGAGUGUCCUUUGGCAGUUUCCAAAGCAUUUGGGCAAGAAGGAGCUUGGGCAGCUUCACAACAGGUGGGGACGCGCAGGGGAGGGGCCGCGGCCGGACCGGCAGAGUUUCAAGGGCUGGCGCGCCGGCGGACUUUCCACACUGUCUUUCGGGACUGGGGUUAGGAGACAGCCCUUGGCCACCACUGUGUCCUUACUUUGUCGCUUUACUUGGGGCUGGACCUCCCCUUUCCAGCUCUGGCGUGUGACCCCGCAACGAGCGUGGUGUCGAGACCACCACCAGCUGGGGCGGUGGGAGCGAAGGUGCCCCAGGCUCGGGGAAGGUGGAAACCUUUUCCCCGCUCCCCAAGUGAUUGUUGCGCGCUCCGGUGAGGGGACAGUGGUACCUCGAUUUCCCGUGUGCCAGCUUCGGGACUCAGCUGUGCUUUUGUGUCUCUUUGAUUAGCAAAAGCAAAACGAAUUCCUCCCCGAACACUAAGCUUCCUGGAAACUUCCCUAGACCUAAACUUGAGAACCGCAUAUAAAUGGGCCUUGAGGGUUCUGUCGUCAGUAGCGGGUUACGUGAUUGCAAACGAGCAAGUUUAAAACGGAGUGGGCUUUGGGCUGCAGAGCCGCCUGGCAUUCUGACAGCUGAGCAGGAGGCAGAGGUGAGAGUCCAAGAUGGACUAAAAAUGUCCCAGCAGCUGGGAGCCCAACCUCGGCCCAACCUCGUUGAAAGGAGGAACAUUCGGUGCAGCCGUCGGAACCUUAUUAUUUAUGAAAGGGGACAGCUCACAGGAUUACAUUUUUCUAAGCCAAUCCUGUGACCAUCCUCCAUGAAAUUCUCUAUUUUGGUUGCAUGUGGUCAAAACUGAGCCUCACUGAAACAAUUGAAAACAAAUACUCCCGACAAAUCUUAAGAAUCGUUUUGAAAAUCAAAAGGUGGGGAAAAUGUUGUGGCUUCUGAGCUUUCUUCAGCCCAUAUUCUAUUAUUCUCUGAUGUUUUAUGGUGUAAAAUCAUACCCAUUCCAUUAUGUAUUGAUUGUCAAGAAGGAAGUAGGCUUUUAUUGCUAUUUUUAUGUCAGUUUCCAUUUACUGUCUCACCACAUUUAUUGGGUUAUUGCCUUUGCCUUUGACUCAACAGGAGCUGGAAGGGUAGGAAUCCCAAAUUCUGUUGCCUAAGGCAGCCAGUUGUCAGAAUGGACUUUCCUCAUUUUCUAUUAUGAGGCCUGAGGAAAGACAUUCAGUUCCAAAGGCUGUGCCUAUCCUUUUAAAUAGAAGAGAGAGGGCCCGGCACGGUGGCUCACGCCUGUAAUCCCAGCAGUUUGGGAGGCCGAAGGGGGCGAAUCACGAGGUCAGGAGUUCCAGACCAGCCUGGCCAACAUAGUGAAACCCCGUGUCUACUAAAGAUACAAAUAUUAGCCGGGCGUAAUGGCGGGCGCCUGUAUUCCCAGCUACUCGGGAGGCUGAGGCAGGAGAAUGGCUUGAAUCCGGGAGGCGGAGGUUGCAGUGAACCGAACCGAGAUCGCGUCGCUGGACUCCAGCCCGGGCGACAGAGUGAGACUCCGUCCCAAAAAAAAAAAAAAAAAAAAAAAAAAAAAAAAAAAAAAAAAAAAGAAAAGAAGAAGAGGAAGCAGCCGUGCCAAAAAAAAAAAAAAAAAGAAGAGGAAGCAGCCGUGCCGAGGCUAGGUACUGCCUAAAGAAGCGGGGGAACAAAUUGGAAAUGUGGGAAUGCGAAUGUGGGCAAGUUGAGGAACUUGUAGCUUCUCGUCGGUUGAAUCUUUUCACUGAAGCUGCUUUAUUAUAUCUGACAUGUGAAACUACACAAUUUCAAACAAACCCAUAUUGAAGUCAACAUACAAAAAAGCAUUUAAAAAACAACCAUUAGUAAAAAUAAUUUUUUCAGUUAACGCUAUUCUUCCCUUGUAUAGGUGUUGAUAAUCAUAUAAUCAAAUAGCUUAUUGCAUAUGGAGAGUUGUUUUCUUUGAGUUAAUUCAACGUAUUGCAACUUAGUUAGAAUCCAGGAAAAUAGUAUUUUCAAAUGUGUAUUUGGAAUCUUCAAAAUACUAGGUUACAAAUUACCUUAAGAGAUAUUUAUGCAGCAUAGAAGAACCAGCAGUUCUCAGAGGAAGAUAAAUAGUUAAAAUAUCAUAAUGCACUUUAUAUCAGUUGUAAAAAGAAAAAUACAGGCUUAGAUUUAUGGUAUUACCGUUAGAAAAACAAUAUGAGUAUUUAAGAAACAUAGCAACCCUAGCCAUUAAAUAGGCAUCAAAUAACAUUCUGAAUUAAGUUAUAAGAUAAAACCAAGAUUUGGAUGACAAUGACAAUAUUGUCCAUCAUUGUUAUCCAAAUCCUGGUUUUAUCUUAUAACUGGUUUUAGGGGCAAUUGUAGUGAAUUGCCCCUAAAAGAUGUUUGAAAUUCGUUUCAUACACUUUUCCUGAAUCAACUUAAGUAUUGAUUUCACAAACAAUAAGAUGGUGUGCCGUAGCAUGUCAUCGCACUAGAAAGAAAAAAAGUACUCCACCAGUGGGAAAUAAUUUCAGCAGAGGAAAGUGAUGAAUAUUGGAUGUGUGUUUAGAAAUCAGAGGUUGAUAAAGUCUUAAGAUUGCUAUAUGCACUAUGAGGCUAAUGUAUUUUGAAAAUUGCAAAACAAUAUUUUUUAAACAACAAAAAUUUGGUGAGUAGCAUACGCAGACUUCAAAAAUAAAUUGCGUAACUUCAUAUUUCAGUAAUUAAAGAUUUAACAAUAGUGAUUUUGUGGCUAAACAAAAUAUACUGAACCCAUUAUGUAUAAACCAUGGAUUCAGAGCUCCAGAAAAUUAUCUUAAUGAGGCAUAUAAACUCUUUUUGUUUAAUGUCCACACCAAAUCAUUAUGGUCUGCCAUUUCAUGAAAUAACAAGUUUUAAAAUAAGUGAUGUUUUUUAGUUUGUAUAUCUAUAUUCUUUUCUACCAGGUAUAGCACAGUGUAGUACAAGGGCCUACAGUUACAAGCCUUGGGAAAGAUACUGUUUUGGCCACAUAUUUCAGCUAUGUGACCCUGGAAAGAGGGUCUCAGAGGGCCACUGUGGCCCUCAGUGUCUUUUCAUUGGUAAAUUGGGGCAACAUCUUUUGUAUAAUGAAAGCUGAAAAAAAUAACGAUUUUCCUUUUAUUCUCCCUUCCUUUCAUUUAGGCUGUAGUUUUCACUUUUUAACUACAAAGCAAUUUAUCUCUUGAUAACACUUCUAGUGUAUUGUCCCUAAAGUACUUUUGAAAGUAGUUCUGUACACUUUUCCUGAGUAAUAAAAACAUCACAUAUUUGCUAACUUGAAAGAAUCCCGAGUCAGGAGAUGGCCUGGAUUCUCUCUGACCCUUCAACUAAAGUCUUUGACCAAAGGAGCACAGGUGACCCCUUUCUGCUUCAUUUUCUGACCUGUAGAGUAUUGGACUCAAUGACCGAUCCUCCCUUGUAGCUCCAAAAUUCUGGGCUAAACUCCAUGCACCUCCCUUCUGAGUUAAAAAUAGUAGACAGGCCUGCAUUAUCAACAUUUGUAGAAAAAUAUGAAAUGCUUAGAGUCACUUUGUAAUUGAGUCUAAGAUUUGAAUGCAUAGAGUUCAAAUGCAAUACUUGUGUUGAUAACACAACAAAGACAUGUAAGUUUUUAUGUACCUUUAUGUUCUAUGCAUUAGUCCUUCAUUCCUUGGCAUGAGGAGAAGUGAUGGUUUCUCAGUGACCUUCCAGAACUCUAAGGCUGUGUUUCUCACACCAGGCCUCAGGGUUUCUACAUUUUGAACAAAUUUCCAGUAUUGUACCCAUGCACACCUGAGUCUAAGAACUCUGCUGUAAGGUGACAUUAAACAGCACCUGAAGUUAUAUUUGAGAUGAUUACUCAGUAAUCAAUGUACAGUUGAUUUUCAUAGUGUGGAUUCAAGCACGGAAUAGAGCACAGUUUUAAUUAAAUCUGUAUUUCUCAGUUGAAACUUUAUUUUAGCAUUACAUGACUUCUAUUUCAUGAAUCAUAAAUGUCAUGUUUCUUCACAAACUGUAGUUCUGAAUUUAACUCAUUCACCAUUUUGUCGUCAAAAAGAAGAGUUGAUGUUGUUGAAAGAUCUAAACAGCUUUGCAGCUGAUGUUCUAAAGAAAUAAAAUAUACCACUGAACCCAGAUCAAGCCUUUGCACUAAAUUAAUGUGAGUUUGAAUUUCUGAGUUUCAGUAGUAAUAUUUUCUAUCUUUGGCAAUCAUUUUUGGACUGACGCUCAUUACGUUUUAUUCUCUUUGGGCUUUAUUCCAUGGAUUUGUAAAGGACACCAGUUCGCUUUAUUUCUGGAAGAUGUAACACAAAUUAAGUAAUGUGCCUUUGAUUCCAAUGUAACUGUUACACCUUAACUAAAACUGUCAUGAGCAACAUCAUUUUUAAAAGCAUUUCUUUGACGUGCAAAUAUAUGACAGAAACCAUUGUAAAUAGGACUUUUUGAAAACAAUACUUUGCUAAAAGGGGUGUUUUAUGAAGGAUAUUAUGUUCUGAAGACCUAAAGGUAGGUUCUGUUUAUGUAAUAAAAGUGUAUGAACCUAUAUAAUUUCAUGGCUUAUUGGCUUAUAGGGCCUUUUAUUCAUGAUCAGAUAUAAAAUUUAUUUUGUGCUGUACUUUAAAUUUCUGGAAAAUUUCAAAAUACUGAUGAAAGGGGCCCUGGUAAUGACUCAGCAGACUUUCCAUUCCAGAUUUAUCUCUAAGAAAAAAGAAGUGUUUCUCAUUAUCACGAUGAAAAUAAAUAGAGGUUGUUUCAAACCGUAUUAAUCAUUUAGUCGGUUAAUUAACAAGAAUCCUUUUGCAGAAUAAAUUCAGACCUUCUAGUAAAUGUGUUGAUAACUGUCAAAAAUCCUUUUUUAUAAUUCUAGCUAGCAAAGGCUUUCAUUUUGGAAUUCAGGAAGCAGGGGAGAUUUUAUUUAUCACCCAGUUCCUGUUGCUAGUCCUUUUGAAUUUUGCCUUUCAGAGUUUUUUUUUUUUUUUCUUUUUGUUAUUCCCCAGUGGCAAGUUAUUUAUUGCUUCGUUUGGCCACUCAUCAAAUAGUAGUUGGUAAUCAGAAGAUUUUACAUGAUAUUCAGGAUAAUUUUUUGCUUUUUUCUAGUGUUUCUAGUUGAACUAUGAUGGAUUAAGGUAACUGAGUAAUUUUUCUCUUGACAUCGAUGCCCUUUAAGCUCUUUUGGGCUGUGAUCCUGCUCUUGUAAUUAGCUUUCAUCCUGUUCAUUAAUCAGUGUUUCCAUUCUGACAGUUUUUCCUUUUCUUUCUCCUCUUGUUUCUGAGAUAUUAAAAAGCGAAAGCAGUCUCUUACAAGGAUCUAUUGUUUGUUAUCUUUUAGGCAAACCCAAGUAUUUAUCUCUCUCUUUUGCGUUCAUACCAAAAUUUAUUGGAAAUGCACGAUAAAUUUUCAGAUUCUCAAAAAUCUCAGGGUUUCUGCUUUCCAGGUUUUAGAAAUUAGUUUAUCUGAUUUCAAGGCCUUAGAUUUUCAAAUUGCUCUUUUAUAUGCAUCUAUUCUAUUCCGUUUUCUUUUCAGUUCUAAGCCUAUGUUUAUAUGUAAAAUGCUUCUCUUGUUUCUGACAUUUUCCAAUUUAGUAUCAAUUUCUAAUAAUGAACCACUGUUACCUGCUUGUCUUCCAUGUGGAUGCUUAAUAAAUACUAUAACUUAGGUAUACAGUUUCAUGGAGGAGAAUAGAAGAAUGUGGUUAAUUUUUUGAAAUAGCAAUAAAAAGAAAACAUGUUGUGGCUUUAGCAAGCAUUAUUUUCUUGUGACAAUUUUAUCCUCCUAAUUAUACAUUGCCUAAGCUGGUACUAACGUUAAUUCAUGUUCUCCUAAGCAUAUGCCCACUCUUGACAGAUAUACACUGGGGUUACAAAUUUGGCGUGUAUAAUUUACACAUAAAUAUUCAAUUGCUAAGAAAACUGAGACUAAAUCACAUGCUGGUCAUUAUCAUCUUUUAAAUUACACUCUGACCUUUCAUCCAUCUACUUAGCAGUGUAAUAACACAAUUGUCUUAAUAUAAAUAAUUCAUUUCUAGUGCUGCAACCCAUUUUUAAAUACUCAAUUUUAAUAUUUAUUAUAGUUCUGAUAUUUAUUAUCUGACAUGUUUGGCUAGAUAUUCUUUUUCUGAACAGUACUUAGUUUCAUGUAAUUUGAUUUUAUUUUUACUAGCUGGAUAAACACACAGUUUUACACAGUAAAAAUAAAAUCAAAUUACAUGAAAUUAAAUUAAUGUAAUUAAUUAAUGUAAUUAAUGUAAUGUAAUUAAUGCAUCCAACAAAAAUCAGUCUUGUAUUAAGUAAUUAAAGGUCCAAAAAUCAGUUGGUUCCAUUGACUUUGGGCAAUGCAAUGUCCACUCCAAAUCUGUCGUUUGUUUCGCUCUGAUAUUUUAAUAGUGUUGCACAGAGGAUGCCUCAUUGGUGGGAUUAGCCUUCUUCACUGGUGUUUUAUGGACAGUACAACUGGCUUCUCCCUUGAAAGCAAAUAAUUUUCUUUAAUUAGGAGUAUUUUUUAAAAAUAGCUUAUCAGCAAAGGUUUUUCUUCUGAGUGUGUGUUUUUUUAAGCUAAAUCUUUUAGAAAGGCAGCAACCGUUAAUCCUUCAGGGACAUAUAUAAACACACAGGUGGAUUCGCCCAUGCGAGCAUUUGUUUUUAACUAAUGGAUGGUUUUCUCAAAACAGUCUGUUCUUUUGCCUGUGUGCCAAAGUGGGUGAAAUAUUUGUUUGGGACUAGACCAUAAAAACUAAUCUUGAAUGAUGGCAGUAGGCUAUAAAAGUUCAUCACAUAGAGAGUAGCAGAAUGUAAUGGAGAAAGCUAUCAACUUGGAAUCAGGAGGCUUGCCACUUACUAGUUGUGGAACGUGGAUGUGCUCUGGGCCAUCAUUACCUAAUUCAUGUAGCAGAAGGUGGGUUAGAUUGUCUCAAAGUCUCAGCUGUAGAGUUAUGUGAUUUUUUAGGUGCCUCUUGGGUUAUUUAAGGCUAGCAUUAAAUGCUGACAUUCAUUUGUAAUAUUUUCCUUCUGGUGAGCUCAGGUACCCUGUUGUAAAUGAUAAUGUUUAUCUGAAAUUGCUUACCUUCAAUCAGCAGUCUUUAGUAUUUCUUAUUCAGCAUACAUUUGUUGACCAGAUUUUAUGUGUCCGGUACUGGUACAAAGCCUUAGAGUAACAAAGGUAAAUAAGAUGAAUUUCCCACCCACGAGUAAUUACAUUGCUAUACACUAAGUACCACAAUGGAAGACCGAAUGAAGUGCCAUGGUAGUUCAGAGGAGAGAUUAAUUCUGCUUUGGGAUGACCAGGUCAGCUUAGAAGGAAAUGGCAUUUGGAUGGAUCUGGAAAGAUGUGUUUGCCAGAUGGAAAACUGGGCUGAGGACGGCAACUGAAGGGCCUGACGGGUGGGUGCUGGGGCACGGGCAGAAUGAGAGAGGUAGGAAGAUGCGUGGUGUUUGAGUAGAACUUCAAGAUAGAGUUUCUGUUUCCAAGGCUAAAUAGUAGGCCAUAAGUGGGGGUGGGAUAGGGCAUUUUGACUUGAGGAGAGUGGGGAAGAAUGGCCUGGAAGUGAAAUGAGGAAUUAGGGCAUUAAUAGGUUGCCAACACUUCCGCUCGGCCAUCUCCACAUGUUGAAGAGUAAUUCCGUUUUUUUUGUUUGUUUGUAUUUUUAAUCUGGUAUAUAUUGUGAUCUGCUUGCAUUUCUACAAAAUUUUCACAAGAACAGUUGGAAUAAUAAUCUGUUUAUUGAACAUUUACUAUGCAUUAAGUCUUAUUCUCAAUGUCCAAGUCCAGUAUCUAGUUAAGACAUUUUACCAUCUUUUUUUUUUCUGAAAAGUUGUUUCAACAUAACAUUUGUAGAACAAACUUUUUUUUUUAAUUUGUUUUGUUUGGCUAUAAGACAAUAAAUCAUUAAGGAUUAACAUUUUUUGACAGCAACUCACAGAAUUUUAAUGAUAGGCAAUGUAUUCUUCACAUAUAAAAUAUCAUAUUUAGCCUCAAAACCUCAAAUCAAAUUAUUUCCAUCUUUUGAAAGGAUGAAAUGGGAUGUUGAUGGCUUGGAAGCAGUCUUUUGUAAACUUUAAAGUUCUAGAUUAUUGUGAGUUAAGUAUAAAUAUCAGGAAGAAGACAUUAUGUAUUCAGUUUUGUGUCUGAGUCUCAGCCUAAUCCCCCAUAGUUAUGGAGUAGGGUAAGAACUGUAUGUCAAUUUGGAAUCAGACUCUCUGUUUUGAGCCAUUUAAUUUAGACACAUUAUUUUAAUGUAAGCGCUUUUGCUUUUUCUUUGGCAGUCGGUGUGCAAUUUUAAUUAGCACUUGGAACCCAGUAGAAUACAUUGAUGAGCACAAGACAUGAAGAAAUACGUUCAUAAUGGCCUGCCCGAGGUCUCUGGCAGCAUCCAAGAAAGAUGCUUUCAGUAUAAUGCUCAAUGCUUCUGAGAAAUCAUCCUAGCUGAUGAUUUAUACUCUUAUACAUUUAAUCACUUUAGAGUUUCAAAAUGUUGGCAUUAGCAGCUUUGUCAUCUAUGCUACACUCAGAAGGAAUAUUAAUUUCCUAAGCUUAUUCUGAUGCAGUAACUGAUGUAUAAGAAAACAACUUAUUUUCUACAUCUGCCCAGGACUCUCUUCCCAACUUUGCCAAUCAAGCUCUUCCACCUCUUUUAAGCCCCAGCUCUAAUAUUCCACCUCACAGUCUUUUAACCUCCCAUUCCCCCAUGGCCAUUCUUUUCAGUAUACACCCAUGGUUCAUGCAUCUACAACUGCACACCACACUGCGUUGUAACUGUUUUUUAAUGCAUUACUCCCCCUGUCAGCUCUCGAUCCCAUAUUUGUAGGAACUGUGUCCCCAUAUCUGUAUUUUGGUUGCAUCCAGUUGAAAGACAGGGCAUGGUAGAAUAGAAAUAACAUGCACCUUAUAAACUGAUGCAGGUUAAAUCCAAACUGCUCCUUACUUGCUGUGGGGACUGGGGCAAGUUACUUCUUUGAGCUUCUUUAAAACAACAAUAGUAAUACCUGCUAUGCAGGAUUGUUGUGAAGAUUAAAUAAGCUGCAUUCAUUAGUUCAACAAAUAUAUGGAGACGUCCUAUUACAUGUCAGUAAUUGCAAGUGUAACUGUACUUGCUAUUAAGAAUAUAAAGGUGAAUAAGUCAUGACUUUAUCCUAAGAACUUUAUAAUGUGGUAGUAGAGAAAGACUAGGAAAUAGACAGUUGCAACAUAAUUCUUAAAGGAUGAGUAAGGAUUCACUAGCACAGGAGUUAUCAGGUUUAGGUUGAAAGCAGCAGGAUCUGAGGUAGAAGGAGAACUGUGUGCAAUGCCUUUAAGCCAGGGAGAGGAUGGGAAGUCUAAGGCACAGAGGGAGGUGUAAUGUAGCUGUGAUGUGAUGGUGGGGUUAGGCUGCAAAUACAAAUAUUACAAGGGGCCUUGCAAGCUAGGCACAGGGCAGAGGGAAUGUGUGAAGAGUAGAUGAUUAGAUUUGCACUUCAGGAAGAUCUCUUUCCUUGCUGGCAUGUGGAAUAGUUUGGGGGAGUCAAGAGAAUCACUAUGACCAGUGAAGAGACUGUAGCCCAGAAGUGUUAAUGGCCUUAACAGCAGGAGUUACAGUGGAAAUGGGGUGGAGAGAAUGCAUUGAGAGAUAAUUAGGUGCCAGAAAAGGCAGCAAGUGAUAUGGUGUACAGGUGGGGGAAAAGUGCGUAAGGAAGAGAGAGGAGAUUUCGGGGAAAAUGUACAGAAUUUUGACUUGAGGAUGACGGUGCUAUUCUCAGAGAUAGGAAAUGCAAGAGAAGCAGUUUAGGGUAUAGGUAGGGAAUGGAAAGUGAGUCCAGUGUGGAAAUUGUGGAAUUUGAAGUACCCAGAGGGAGCGCAGGACAUUUUGACAUCAUUUUGAGCUCUUGUAUGUUUUGACCCUGCUGUUUUUUUUGUUCUUGAAUAUAAACAUUGCCGUCAAGAUGAUAUCAACACUGAUGAAUUUUGUGGUAAAGAUUUAUUCCAGGGUUAACUUCGUUAAGCUAGUUUAAUUUAUUGACCUAUUUCCUAUAUUGCAAAUUUAAUCUUUUCCAAUUUGUUCCCUCCUGUAUUGUUUUACUAGCACUGUUUCCAUCAGGACAAAAUCUUUCUUGUGUACAUUUUACAAUGAAUACUUGAUUUAUCAACCUCUUUAUCAUCAUCUUUUUCAAAUUUUUACAGAUACAACUUUUCCAUGAUAAAUGUCGUUUUAGCUCUACUAUUUUUACCAUGUCAAAUUUUGGACAACUACUCUUUUUGAUUUUUCAUUAAUUUGUGAGCAAUAAUAACUUUUUACCAUUUUCUGUUUUUGCUAUUUUCAGUUGUAUUUUACCUUUUUUUUUGUAACCAGCGAAAUAGUUUCAUGAGACAAUUUUUUCAACUUUAAAAAUUACCAAUGAUCUGUGAUUCUCAAGUCAGCUUUUCAUCUAUAACAAAUUUUGCUGUGUAUCAUUUUGGCCCUUGUCGGUUUCAUUUUGGUCCUUAAAACCAAAACUGCCUCAGAAUCUAAAUGGCAUUCUUCUGCCUAUGGAAGAGCCAAGGAUAGAAGUCCAGAACAUAGGUACAUGUAUAUAGGUAUGGCGAUUUGAAGAGAAGUCUAGGAUGAAAUGUAGAUUUGUAAGCAUUUGCAUCUGGGUAUGGGGGCAAGAGAGUGGAUGACAUCUCACCAGAGGGUGUAUAGCGUAAGAGAAGAGCACCCCAAAAAACUAGGAGAAAGAAUCCAGGAAGGAGCGGUAGAAGGUAGGGAGAAACUCACAAGACGGCAUUCUUGUGGAAGUCAAGUCAAGAAAGAGGAAGUGGUCAACAAUGUUGGAUGCUGCAAAGAGGAUGCAUACUGAAAUGUGUGGAUUUUGCAACAAUAACAUCACCCUGUCGUCACUGAAGGCAACCUCAUGAACGGAGAAAGAUAUGCAGCUGGGUAUACAGAAGAGGAGCAAGAAGGAAGCGAAGAUGUGGAGACAAUUACAAGGACAACACUGGGCUGCAAGAAGAAAAAUUUGCUUAUUGAUUGGCUGGUUUGUUUCCUUUUAGUACGGAGAGACUUAAGCAUGGUUAGGUGCCGAUGGGUUAGAGAGGAGAGGAUGAAUGUACAGGAGAGUUGGAACAGGAUCCCCAAGAAGAAAAUUAAGAUCCCAGUCCUUUCCAGGGGUAGAAUUUAGCAUUGCUGCCUAAAUCUCCAUAUCUAAUGAUUCCUCUGCAGCCGUGCCCAAGACAGAACCAUCCUCAAUCUGGCCCAUCCAUUUGGGCUUUUACUUUGGGUUCCCCAUUAAACCCCUAAUUCCUUCCUGGGCCCAGAACUUUCUCCAGAGCUGCUAUCACUUGCUUUCAUAUCUCAGUCAAGGGGAUCUUACUGCCCUUAACCCCACAGUACUAUCACUUGCCAUGACGCUUGAAUAUUACUGCUUUUGAGAAAGUCUUGCUACCACGUGUUGGCCACAACAUCAGAUAAGCUUUGAUACUCUUGCUCUCCAGCUGUGAGCUGGGUCUUACCUCAUCUACUAGAUCUACCACUCACAGGUCAGAUGAAACAAAACACUGUGUUGUGACCCUGACCAUUCUCUGUUCCUCCCAUUUGUCCUGAGACUGAACAAAUUACAGCAAAACUUGGGUUGCCUUAUGAAUAAUGGGGCGGUGGCCAAUGCACACAUCCUUAUCUUCAUCCACGGAGGGCUCAUCUAACCACCCCUGGUGUCUUCACUGCAGGUUUAUUGGGCACUUCCUAGCACCAGGCACUGCAAUAAGAAAUGGAGGUUAAACCAUGAAGAAACAUGGCUCUAGCCCUUAGGGAGCUCCCGGUCCUGCAGGUAAGUUAAUCCUUGUUGCGAUACUGUGUACUAGAUGGGCAAAGUGAAGAACCAGUUUAGCCUAGGUAAGGAGAAACUGGUAGAUUACCCUAAUUUUUUUUUUGGUAGAAUCUAAACAAUCUCAUGAGUUCAGUUGAACAUGUGAAAUACACUCUUCUUUUCCUCACAUAAUUGUUUCCCCUGCCAGUCUACACAGCUCGCAAGGGUAAGUCUGUUUUAUGAGUUGGAUAGGUUCCGGGACUGCGAUUUAUCUUAAAGAAAACUCAUUUGCUUAUGUAGCAGCCAAGAUCAGCUACUAAAUUUCCAGGACAUUGAAAAAAGUGCAUUCUCUUCAAAUCCCUUUAUAUUUUUACCUAGCAUCCCCUUGCACCCUGACCCCGUUCUGAACUUUUUGUUUGUUUGUUGAUUGGUUGGUUGGUUUUGCCUUCAGGACAAAGUGCAGGACAAUUUUGUGUCUGUUCUUGAGUCAAGUAUAUUUGUUUGAUCUCUGUGGAACUUAGUUCUGAGCAUAUGAAUGAAAUAAAGGUGAACUGAGAGGUCAUAAUCUGUAUCUUUCUCUGAGAAGUUCUCUAAGGCUCUGCCUUUGCUUGUUUUGCUGUUUCUUGAUUCCUUGGCUGUGCCGCUGUCUCUGGGUUCCAGCACUGACACCCCAUGUGGGUAGGGUCCUGUGGAGGACAGCACGGGUCUGAGAGAGAGAAAGCCUGGGGAAAGCUGGAGAUGCCCUGUUCUUGCUUUCCUGCACCAGGCCUCUAUACCCCUUGAGGUCAAAGCAUGUCUAAUUACGUUGAGAACAAGUCAGAGAUAUUGGACAUAAGUGUCUUCCUAAAAAAUAAAAUGUGCAGUAAAUACUACAUUAAAAUUAUCCGUAAACCACUUUAAUAUUAACUUUGAACUCUGCAUUAUGGCAGGCUGUUGGGAAAAUAAAAUGUUCCCCAGCACUCUCUUUCUCUCUCUGACUUCGUGUCUACCAGUUCCUGAUCUUGUCCUUUGCAAGGAAUGGGUGGGACUCCACAGGUUCCUGACUGCAUAGCUUUUUCAAAUCCAGUGGGUCUUUCUCUGUUUCCCUCCAAGUUCCCUUGCUUGGAUCACAGAUGUGUGCAAGGCUGCCUAUGAUGCCCUCUGCAUCGAGUGUUGCAGCCACUUGCCCAUUCCUGGCACAAGUCUCCCCUCCCUGCAGGAAUAGUGCUCAGGACCCCAGUGGCUGCUUUCUUCUUCUUUCUCCCCCACUUCCCUAGGGCAGGAAGUGAGAGGAGCAGUGAAUGUUAGACAGAGGGGCUUUCAUUUUGUAUCCUCCACAUCUGCUCCCUGAGGUAGUGAACACAGGUGCCUACUUGGUUAGACAGGAGACAGAGGAGCAUGGAGCGAAAGGAUGAACACGUGUGGAGACAAAAUUGCACAGCUUUGUAUCUUAAAAUAGUGCCCUGCCACACAAACAAAAGAUCCCCUAAAUUACUAGGACUGUUAGAAAAAAUAUACUUUUAACUUAUUAAAAAAGCCAAUAUUAGCUAAUGACAAAGAUCUCUGGCAAGAUUGAGAGAGAAGGCUUUUCAGACAGAGGCAGUGGUCUGGAGAAGCAGUGUCUUGUCUGUGCUGCUUCUCACUUCCUGUUCUAUUGUCAUGUUCUCUUGGCCACACUCUUCUUGACAUUGUCUCCCCUUCUCUAUCCAAUCCUUGUCUUUUCCCUGCUACUGUUCUCCAUUCCCAUUUUACACUCAUCCUCAGCAGGCCAUCUAGAGGACUGAGUGGGCACUAAGGUCCAUAAACCAUGGUUAGGCCUUGGUUUGACUUCUCCCUGUAGAUUUGCUUUUGUAAAAUAUGUCCUCUGAAUGUCUACAUGAGAUGGGUUUAUUCCUUUUUAAAAUUUCACUUUUUGAAUAUAUAUAACACAUAAUUCCAAAGUCAACAUUAUUUAGUUAUAGGCAACGUUGUAUAGUUAUACCCAGGUGAUGUGGUUUGGCUCCAUGUCCCCACCCAAAUCUCAUCUUGUAGCUCCCAUAAUUCCCACAUGUUGUGGAAGGGACCCAGUGGGAGAUAAUUGAAUCAUGGGUAUGGGUCUUUCCUAUGCUGUUCUCAUGAUAGCGAGUGGAUCUCACGAGAUCUGAUGGUUUUAUAAAACGGGAAUUUCUCUGCACAAGCUCUUUUUUUUGCCUGCCACCAUCCACGUAAGAUGUGACUUGCUCCUCUUUGCCUUCUGCCAUGAUUGUGAGGCCUCCCCAGCCAUGUGGAACUGUGAGUCCAAUUAAAUCUCUUUCUUUUGUAAAGAGCCCAGUCUCGGGUAUGUUUUUAUCAGCAGCAUGAAAACGGACGAAUACGCCAGGAUACUCUUACUUCAAGCCACGAGCCCUGUACCCUGUUGCCUCAGUUGGCUACAGGUAACUAAUUUUUGUUUCUGGUUUAUUCUUCCAGUAUUUCUUU